GUCCUGGCCCUAAACGAUGAAUGCUUGGUGUGGCGGGUAUCGAUCCCUGCCGUGCCGAAGCUAACGCAUUAAGCAUUCCGCCUGGGGAGUACGGUAGCAAGGCUGAAACUCAAAGGAAUUGACGGGGGCCCCGCACAAGCGGUGGAGCAUGUGGUUUAAUUCGACGCAACGCGAAGAACCUUACCCAGGCUUGAACUGCAGGUGACAUUCUACGAAAGUAGACUUCCGCAAGGACGCCUGUAGAGGUGCUGCAUGGCUGUCGU
rnacentral:rRNA from 1 species